UGGGGAAUAUUGGACAAUGGGCGCAAGCCUGAUCCAGCCAUGCCGCGUGUGAAGAAGGCCUUCGGGUUGUAAAGCACUUUUGUCCGGAAAGAAAUCCUGUCGGCUAAUACCCGGCGGGGAUGACGGUACCGGAAGAAUAAGCACCGGCUAACUUCGUGCCAGCAGCCGCGGUAAUACGAAGGGUGCAAGCGUUACUCGGAAUUACUGGGCGUAAAGCGUGCGUAGGUGGUUUGUUAAGUCUGAUGUGAAAGCCCUGGGCUCAACCUGGGAACUGCAUUGGAUACUGGCUUACUAGAGUGCGGUAGAGGGUGGCGGAAUUCCCGGUGUAGCAGUGAAAUGCGUAGAUAUCGGGAGGAACAUCCGUGGCGAAGGCGGCCACCUGGACCAGCACUGACACUGAGGCACGAAAGCGUGGGGAGCAAACAGGAUUAGAUACCCUGGGUAGUCCACGCCCUAAACGAUGCGAACUGGAUGUUGGGAGCAACUAGGCUCUCAGUAUCGAAGCUAACGCGUUAAGUUCGCCGCCUGGGAAGUACGGUCGCAAGACUGAAACUCAAAUGAAUUGACGGGGUCAUAGCUGUUUCCU
rnacentral:rRNA from 1 species